rnacentral:lncRNA from 1 species
AAAUGAGAUAUUGGUGUACGUAAUUGGUUGUUUGUUAAUGAGAAUAUUUAUGUGAAAGACUUACUAGGUACCCAGGAAAAGGACGGACGAGCCCGAUACAUAAGGAAUCCUACCGUGAACGUUACCUUAGUUGAAUGGGGAUGGGAAGUCCCUUACCAGGAAGAUUUGGGAGAUAUAAUUCACUCUCAUACCGGACGGGGUAUCGAGGCGAUGGAAUGUUUGACGCCUAUUAUUGGAUGGGGUAUGGAGACGGCUGGUUAAUUAUUAAAAUUGGAUAUUGGGUUCACGAGUAGGGAGGUAUCCCUAUGGACCCUCAGUGGUACCAGUAAGUAGGUAAGAAAAGAAAGUUAUUAUUUCUUGUUUUCUUACGCGUGAAAAUAAAAAGUGGUAUA